GAUGAACGCUGGCGGCGUGCCUAAUACAUGCAAGUCGAACGGACAGACGAGGCUUUUGCUCCGCUGUCGAGUGGCGCACAGGGGAGUAUCACAUGUGGAUAACCUACCUAUAUGACUGUUAUAACUUCUAAACACGGGCUCUAAUACCAGAUAAUCUAUUGACGCACAGGGUUCGAUUGUGAAAUACGGUUUUGCUGUCAGUUAUAGAUGGAUCACCGCCUCAUUAGCUAGUUGGUCAGGUAACGGCUUACCAAGUCGACGAUGAGUAGCCGAGCUGAGAGGGUGAUAGGCCACACGGGAACUGAGCCACGGACCAGACUCCUACGGGAGGCAGCAGUAGGGAAUGUUCCGCAAAGGGAGAAAGCAUGACGCAGCAACGCCGCGUGUGUGAUGAAGGUCUUCGGUUCGUAAAACCCUGUUAUUAGGGAAGAACAACUGUGGAAGUAAACAUGCCGGGCUUGACGGUACCGGAUAAGAAAGCCACGGCUAACUACGUG
rnacentral:rRNA from 1 species